UAUUCCCGUACUUCUUACAAUUGCGAUGGGGGGACGGAGAAGGCUAGGUGGGCCUGGCGACGGUUGUCCAGGUUCAAGUGCGUAGGCUGAAGAGUUAGGUAAAUCCGGCUCCUCGAUAGGCUGAGACACGACGUCGAGCUACUACGGUAGUGAAGUCAUUGAUGCCAUGCUUCCAGGAAAAGCCUCUAAGCUUCAGAUUGUAAGGAAUCGUACCCCAAACCGACACAG
rnacentral:rRNA from 1 species